rnacentral:rRNA from 1 species
AGCGUACACGGUGGAUGCCCUGGCAGUCAGAGGCGAUGAAGGACGUGCUAAUCUGCGAUAAGCGUCGGUAAGGUGAUAUGAACCGUUAUAACCGGCGAUUUCCGAAUGGGGAAACCCAGUGUGUUUCGACACACUAUCAUUAACUGAAUCCAUAGGUUAAUGAGGCGAACCGGGGGAACUGAAACAUCUAAGUACCCCGAGGAAAAGAAAUCAACCGAGAUUCCCCCAGUAGCGGCGAGCGAACGGGGAGCAGCCCAGAGCCUGAAUCAGUGUGUGUGUUAGUGGAAGCGUCUGGAAAGGCGCGCGAUACAGGGUGACAGCCCCGUACACAAAAAUGCACAUGCUGUGAGCUCGAUGAGUAGGGCGGGACACGUGGUAUCCUGUCUGAAUAUGGGGGGACCAUCCUCCAAGGCUAAAUACUCCUGACUGACCGAUAGUGAACCAGUACCGUGAGGGAAAGGCGAAAAGAACCCCGGCGAGGGGAGUGAAAAAGAACCUGAAACCGUGUACGUACAAGCAGUGGGAGCACGCUUAGGCGUGUGACUGCGUACCUUUUGUAUAAUGGGUCAGCGACUUAUAUUCUGUAGCAAGGUUAACCGAAUAGGGGAGCCGAAGGGAAACCGAGUCUUAACUGGGCGUUAAGUUGCAGGGUAUAGACCCGAAACCCGGUGAUCUAGCCAUGGGCAGGUUGAAGGUUGGGUAACACUAACUGGAGGACCGAACCGACUAAUGUUGAAAAAUUAGCGGAUGACUUGUGGCUGGGGGUGAAAGGCCAAUCAAACCGGGAGAUAGCUGGUUCUCCCCGAAAGCUAUUUAGGUAGCGCCUCGUGAAUUCAUCUCCGGGGGUAGAGCACUGUUUCGGCAAGGGGGUCAUCCCGACUUACCAACCCGAUGCAAACUGCGAAUACCGGAGAAUGUUAUCACGGGAGACACACGGCGGGUGCUAACGUCCGUCGUGAAGAGGGAAACAACCCAGACCGCCAGCUAAGGUCCCAAAGUCAUGGUUAAGUGGGAAACGAUGUGGGAAGGCCCAGACAGCCAGGAUGUUGGCUUAGAAGCAGCCAUCAUUUAAAGAAAGCGUAAUAGCUCACUGGUCGAGUCGGCCUGCGCGGAAGAUGUAACGGGGCUAAACCAUGCACCGAAGCUGCGGCAGCGACGCUGAUGCGUUGUUGGGUAGGGGAGCGUUCUGUAAGCCUGCGAAGGUGUGCUGUGAGGCAUGCUGGAGGUAUCAGAAGUGCGAAUGCUGACAUAAGUAACGAUAAAGCGGGUGAAAAGCCCGCUCGCCGGAAGACCAAGGGUUCCUGUCCAACGUUAAUCGGGGCAGGGUGAGUCGACCCCUAAGGCGAGGCCGAAAGGCGUAGUCGAUGGGAAACAGGUUAAUAUUCCUGUACUUGGUGUUACUGCGAAGGGGGGACGGAGAAGGCUAUGUUGGCCGGGCGACGGUUGUCCCGGUUUAAGCGUGUAGGCUGGUUUUCCAGGCAAAUCCGGAAAAUCAAGGCUGAGGCGUGAUGACGAGGCACUACGGUGCUGAAGCAACAAAUGCCCUGCUUCCAGGAAAAGCCUCUAAGCAUCAGGUAACAUCAAAUCGUACCCCAAACCGACACAGGUGGUCAGGUAGAGAAUACCAAGGCGCUUGAGAGAACUCGGGUGAAGGAACUAGGCAAAAUGGUGCCGUAACUUCGGGAGAAGGCACGCUGAUAUGUAGGUGAAGCGACUUGCUCGUGGAGCUGAAAUCAGUCGAAGAUACCAGCUGGCUGCAACUGUUUAUUAAAAACACAGCACUGUGCAAACACGAAAGUGGACGUAUACGGUGUGACGCCUGCCCGGUGCCGGAAGGUUAAUUGAUGGGGUCAGCCGCAAGGCGAAGCUCUUGAUCGAAGCCCCGGUAAACGGCGGCCGUAACUAUAACGGUCCUAAGGUAGCGAAAUUCCUUGUCGGGUAAGUUCCGACCUGCACGAAUGGCGUAAUGAUGGCCAGGCUGUCUCCACCCGAGACUCAGUGAAAUUGAACUCGCUGUGAAGAUGCAGUGUACCCGCGGCAAGACGGAAAGACCCCGUGAACCUUUACUAUAGCUUGACACUGAACAUUGAGCCUUGAUGUGUAGGAUAGGUGGGAGGCUUUGAAGUGUGGACGCCAGUCUGCAUGGAGCCGACCUUGAAAUACCACCCUUUAAUGUUUGAUGUUCUAACGUUGACCCGUAAUCCGGGUUGCGGACAGUGUCUGGUGGGUAGUUUGACUGGGGCGGUCUCCUCCUAAAGAGUAACGGAGGAGCACGAAGGUUGGCUAAUCCUGGUCGGACAUCAGGAGGUUAGUGCAAUGGCAUAAGCCAGCUUGACUGCGAGCGUGACGGCGCGAGCAGGUGCGAAAGCAGGUCAUAGUGAUCCGGUGGUUCUGAAUGGAAGGGCCAUCGCUCAACGGAUAAAAGGUACUCCGGGGAUAACAGGCUGAUACCGCCCAAGAGUUCAUAUCGACGGCGGUGUUUGGCACCUCGAUGUCGGCUCAUCACAUCCUGGGGCUGAAGUAGGUCCCAAGGGUAUGGCUGUUCGCCAUUUAAAGUGGUACGCGAGCUGGGUUUAGAACGUCGUGAGACAGUUCGGUCCCUAUCUGCCGUGGGCGCUGGAGAACUGAGGGGGGCUGCUCCUAGUACGAGAGGACCGGAGUGGACGCAUCACUGGUGUUCGGGUUGUCAUGCCAAUGGCACUGCCCGGUAGCUAAAUGCGGAAGAGAUAAGUGCUGAAAGCAUCUAAGCACGAAACUUGCCCCGAGAUGAGUUCUCCCUGACUCCUUGA